UGCCCUCCACUUCGGGAUAAGCCUUGGAAACGGGGUCUAAUACCGGAUAUGAGCCUGCAUCGCAUGGUGUGGGUUGGAAAGUUUUUCGGUGGGGGAUGGGCUCGCGGCCUAUCAGCUUGUUGGUGGGGUGAUGGCCUACCAAGGCGUCGACGGGUAGCCGGCCUGAGAGGGCGACCGGCCACACUGGGACUGAGACACGGCCCAGACUCCUACGGGAGGCAGCAGUGGGGAAUAUUGCACAAUGGGCGAAAGCCUGAUGCAGCGACGCCGCGUGAGGGAUGACGGCCUUCGGGUUGUAAACCUCUUUCAGCAGGGAAGAAGCGCAAGUGACGGUACCUGCAGAAGAAGCGCCGGCUAACUACGUGCCAGCAGCCGCGGUAAUACGUAGGGCGCAAGCGUUGUCCGGAAUUAUUGGGCGUAAAGAGCUCGUAGGCGGUCUGUCGCGUCUGGUGUGAAAUCCCGAGGCUCAACCUCGGGCUUGCAUCGGGUACGGGCAGACUAGAGUGCGGUAGGGGAGACUGGAAUUCCUGGUGUAGCGGUGGAAUGCGCAGAUAUCAGGAGGAACACCGAUGGCGAAGGCAGGUCUCUGGGCCGCAACUGACGCUGAGGAGCGAAAGCAUGGGGAGCGAACAGGAUUAGAUACCCUGGUAGUCCAUGCCGUAAACGUUGGGCACUAGGUGUGGGGCUCAUUCCACGAGUUCCGUGCCGCAGCUAACGCAUUAAGUGCCCCGCCUGGGGAGUACGGCCGCAAGGCUAAAACUCAAAGGAAUUGACGGGGGCCCGCACAAGCGGCGGAGCAUGCGGAUUAAUUCGAUGCAACGCGAAGAACCUUACCAAGGCUUGACAUGCACCGGAAACACUCAGAGAUGGGUGCCCCGCAAGGUCGGUGCACAGGUGGUGCAUGGUUGUCGUCAGCUCGUGUCGUGAGAUGUUGGGUUAAGUCCCGCAACGAGCGCAACCCUCGUCCUAUGUUGCCAGCGGGUUAUGCCGGGGACUCAUGGGAGACUGCCGGGGUCAACUCGGAGGAAGGUGGGGAUGACGUCAAAUCAUCAUGCCCCUUAUGUCUUGGGCUUCACGCAUGCUACAAUGGCCGGUACAGAGGGCUGCGAUACCGUAAGGUGGAGCGAAUCCCAAAAAGCCGGUCUCAGUUCGGAUUGGGGUCUGCAACUCGACCCCAUGAAGUCGGAGUCGCUAGUAAUCGCAGAUCAG
rnacentral:rRNA from 1 species